rnacentral:rRNA from 1 species
AGUCAAGUAAUUAAGUGCAUGUGGUGGAUGCCUUGGCAGUCAGAGGCGAUGAAAGACGUGAUAGCCUGCGAAAAGCUCCGGGGAGGCGGCAAAUAUCCUUUGAUCCGGAGAUGUCUGAAUGGGGGAACCCACCUACUUUAAGGUAGGUAUUGCAACAUGAAUACAUAGUGUUGCAAGGCGAACGAGGGGAAGUGAAACAUCUCAGUACCCUUAGGAAAAGAAAUCAAUUGAGAUUCCCUCAGUAGCGGCGAGCGAACGGGGAUCAGCCCAUUAAGUUAUGUGUGUUUUAGUGGAACGCUCUGGGAAGUGCGAACGUAGAGGGUGAUAUUCCCGUACACGAAAGGGCACACAUAAUGAUGACGAGUAGGGCGAGGCACGUGAAACCUUGUCUGAAUAUGGGGGGACCAUCCUCCAAGGCUAAAUACUCCUGACUGACCGAUAGUGAACCAGUACCGUGAGGGAAAGGCGAAAAGAACCCCUGUGAGGGGAGUGAAAUAGAUCCUGAAACCGCAUGCAUACAAGCAGUGGGAGCACCUUCGUGGUGUGACUGCGUACCUUUUGUAUAAUGGGUCAGCGACUUAUAUUCAGUAGCGAGGUUAACCGUAUAGGGGAGCCGUAGAGAAAUCGAGUCUUAAUAGGGCGUUUAGUUGCUGGGUAUAGACCCGAAACCAGGCGAUCUAUCCAUGAGCAGGUUGAAGGUUGGGUAACACUAACUGGAGGACCGAACCCACUGUCGUUGAAAAGCCAGGGGAUGACUUGUGGAUAGGGGUGAAAGGCUAAUCAAGCCUGGUGAUAGCUGGUUCUCCCCGAAAGCUAUUUAGGUAGCGCCUCGGACGAAUACCAUAGGGGGUAGAGCACUGUUUCGGCUAGGGGGUCAUCCCGACUUACCAAACCGAUGCAAACUCCGAAUACCUAUGAGUACUAUCCGGGAGACAGACUGCGGGUGCUAACGUCCGUAGUCAAGAGGAAAACAAUCCAGACCGCCAGCUAAGGCCCCAAAAUCAUAGUUAAGUGGGAAACGAUGUGGGAAGGCAUAGACAGCUAGGAGGUUGGCUUAGAAGCAGCCACCCUUUAAAGAAAGCGUAAUAGUCUCACUAGUCGAGUCGGCCUGCGCGGAAGAUGUAACGGGGCUAAAACUAUGUGCCGAAGCUGCGGAUGUAUACUUUGUAUACGUGGUAGGGGAGCGUUCUGUAAGCCGAUGAAGGUGUGUUGAGAAGCAUGCUGGAGGUAUCAGAAGUGCGAAUGCUGACGUGAGUAACGACAAAACGGGUGAAAAACCCGUUCGCCGAAAGACCAAGGGUUCCAGUCCAACGUUAAUCGGGGCUGGGUGAGUCGACCCCUAAGGCGAGGCCGAAAGGCGUAGUCGAUGGGAAAAUGGUUAAUAUUCCAUUACUUCUGUGUAAUGCGAUGAGAGGACGGAGAAGGCUAAAUCAGCCUGGCGUUGGUUGUCCAGGUGAAAGGAUGUAGGCAUGUAUCUUAGGCAAAUCCGGGGUACUCUAUGCUGAGAUCUGAUAGCAAGCUGUACUUGUACAGCGAAGUGGUUGAUGCCAUGCUUCCAGGAAAAGUCUCUAAGCUUCAGUUACACAGGAAUCGUACCCGAAACCGACACAGGUGGUCAGGUCGAGUAGACCAAGGCGCUUGAGAGAACUCUGCUGAAGGAACUAGGCAAAAUGGUACCGUAACUUCGGGAGAAGGUACGCUGUUGUUGGUGAUGGAACUCGCUUCCUGAGCUGACGACAGCCGCAGAAACCAGGCCGCUGCAACUGUUUAUUAAAAACAUAGCACUCUGCAAACACGAAAGUGGACGUAUAGGGUGUGAUGCCUGCCCGGUGCUGGAAGGUUAAUUGAUGGGGUUAGCGUAAGCGAAGCUCUUGAUCGAAGCCCCAGUAAACGGCGGCCGUAACUAUAACGGUCCUAAGGUAGCGAAAUUCCUUGUCGGGUAAGUUCCGACCUGCACGAAUGGCAUAAUGAUGGCGGCGCUGUCUCCAGCAGAGGCUCAGUGAAAUCGAAAUCGCUGUGAAGAUGCAGUGUACCCGCGGCUAGACGGAAAGACCCCGUGAACCUUUACUGCAGCUUGACACUGAACUUUGACCUUACUUGUGUAGGAUAGGUGGGAGGCUUUGAAGCUGGAACGCUAGUUCCAGUGGAGCCGUCCUUGAAAUACCACCCUGGUAAUGUUGAGGUUCUAACUCUGUCCCGUGAUCCGGGACGAGGACCGUGUCUGGUGGGUAGUUUGACUGGGGCGGUCUCCUCCUAAAGAGUAACGGAGGAGUACGAAGGUGCGCUCAGCGUGGUCGGAAAUCACGCGUAGAGUAUAAAGGCAAAAGCGCGCUUAACUGCGAGACCCACAAGUCGAGCAGGUACGAAAGUAGGUCUUAGUGAUCCGGUGGUUCUGUAUGGAAGGGCCAUCGCUCAACGGAUAAAAGGUACUCUGGGGAUAACAGGCUGAUACCGCCCAAGAGUUCAUAUCGACGGCGGUGUUUGGCACCUCGAUGUCGGCUCAUCUCAUCCUGGGGCUGAAGCAGGUCCCAAGGGUAUGGCUGUUCGCCAUUUAAAGAGGUACGCGAGCUGGGUUUAGAACGUCGUGAGACAGUUCGGUCCCUAUCUACCGUGGGCGCUGGAAAUUUGAGAGGAUCUGCUCCUAGUACGAGAGGACCAGAGUGGACGAACCUCUGGUGUACCGGUUGUGACGCCAGUCGCAUCGCCGGGUAGCUAUGUUCGGAAGGGAUAACCGCUGAAAGCAUCUAAGCGGGAAGCCUACCUCAAGAUAAGAUUUCCCUAGGACUUUAUGUCCUCUAAAGAGCCGUUCGAGACUAGGACGUUGAUAGGUUGGAUGUGGAAGCAUAGUGAUAUGUGAAGCUGACCAAUACUAAUUGCUCGUGAGGCUUGACUAUACAACACCC